UUAACUUAAGCUCGCUUAGCAUGCUAGACAAAAUGGUGGACCGCAAUCUAAUGCUAAAACUACUAGCUUUGUGUCAUCAUUUAUCACCAUAUGAAAAGUAGUGGUGGCAUUAUGGACUUGUGUGGUCUUCUCUUGUCUUUCAUUCAAGCAAACAAGUGCAGCACAUGAUCAUGAUGCUGAUGUCCUAACUACCUGUCGGCCACCAGCUUCAGAACACUAACACAUGCUCAUGGAGACGGAAGCUUCACUUGGAAAGGGGGAGAGAACAAGCUAAGAGAUCUUCAGCUAAAUUCUCUUGUGCAAUAUAAUUCCACCGUCAACUAGUUUUUACAAACAAACUCUUCAAGAUCUCUCUUCCUCAAGCAUGGGAAAGUUUUGCUGCAGCAGCAUGUCAGAGGAUCAAAAUGGAGGGAGUGGCAUAGACCUGAUGGGAAUUCUGGUGCUGAGAAUCAGAUCUGGAUCGAGGAGCCGCAUCUGCUAGCUUCAAGAUCUUCGAAGAAGUUAAUGGCUAGCUAGCUCUUUGUUCUUGGAUGUGCACAAUUAGAAUAUGUUGCUAUAUCCCUUGUUAAAUAAUUGUAAUUCUCUCAGCUGUUUAAGUAUUUUUAAUUCUUGUGUAUGUUAAGUAGCACUGCACUUAUACAAUUCAUGCCGAAGUAGAUCUGGUGGAUGGAACAAGAAGCCAGAAUUAUCGAUGUUUGCAUAUUCUACCUUUCUUUUAAAGUUAAGUUGCGUUGUUUUUUAAGCUCUAAUUAAGUGCUAGUUUCUGUUUUCA